rnacentral:rRNA from 1 species
UACGUAGGGUGCGAGCGUUAAUCGGAAUUACUGGGCGUAAAGCGUGCGCAGGCGGUUUUGUACGCCAGAUGUGAAAUCCCCGGGCUUAACCUGGGAAUGGCAUUUGGGACUGCAAGGCUGGAGUUUGGCAGAGGAGACUGGAAUUCCUGGUGUAGCAGUGAAAUGCGUAGAUAUCAGGAGGAAUACCGAUGGCGAAGGCAGGUCUCUGGGCUAUAACUGACGCUCAUGCACGAAAGCGUGGGGAGCAAACAGG